rnacentral:rRNA from 1 species
AACGCUGGCGGCGUGCUACCCUACAUGCAAGUCGAACGAGUUUGCUUUUAAUGAAAGGCGGUGCUUGCACCAACUGAUUUAAAAAUAAACGUAGAUGUGCGGACGGGUGAGCUAACACGUGGGUAACCUACCCAUAAAGUGGGGGCAUAACAUUUGGAAACAGAUGCUAAUACCGCAUCAAUAUCUAAAAACCACAUGGUCUUCUUAAUUGAAAGCACCGGCGUAAGCUGUCACUUUUGGAUGGACCCGCGGCGUAUUAGCUAGCUUGGUGAGGUAACGGCUCACCAAGGACUCGCGAUAGCAGUAUGCCGACCUGAGAGGGUAGACUCAGGACCACACUGGGACUGAGACACGGACCCAGACUCCUACGGGACGUGCCGCCCGAUAGGGAAUCUUCGUGCAACUGGACGAAAGUCUGACCGAGCAACGCCGCGUGAGUCCCACGAAGGUUUUCGGAUCGUAAAACUCUGUUGUUAGAAGAAGAAC